GGCUGGUGUGAGUGCCGUGGUAUUUACAACUAACUGAUCACAACCAGUUACAGAUUUUUUUGUUCUUUCUCCACUCCCACGGCUUCACUUGACUAUCCUCAA
ensembl:misc_RNA Y_RNA Y RNA